UUCACCGGAGCUUGCUCCACCGAAAGAAAAAGAGUGGCGAACGGGUGAGUAACACGUGGGUAACCUGCCCAUCAGAAGGGGAUAACACUUGGAAACAGGUGCUAAUACCGUAUAACACUAUUUUCCGCAUGGAAGAAAGUUGAAAGGCGCUUUUGCGUCACUGAUGGAUGGACCCGCGGUGCAUUAGCUAGUUGGUGAGGUAACGGCUCACCAAGGCCACGAUGCAUAGCCGACCUGAGAGGGUGAUCGGCCACACUGGGACUGAGACACGGCCCAGACUCCUACGGGAGGCAGCAGUAGGGAAUCUUCGGCAAUGGACGAAAGUCUGACCGAGCAACGCCGCGUGAGUGAAGAAGGUUUUCGGAUCGUAAAACUCUGUUGUUAGAGAAGAACAAGGAUGAGAGUAGAACGUUCAUCCCUUGACGGUAUCUAACCAGAAAGCCACGGCUAACUACGUGCCAGCAGCCGCGGUAAUACGUAGGUGGCAAGCGUUGUCCGGAUUUAUUGGGCGUAAAGCGAGCGCAGGCGGUUUCUUAAGUCUGAUGUGAAAGCCCCCGGCUCAACCGGGGAGGGUCAUUGGAAACUGGGAGACUUGAGUGCAGAACAGCAGAGUGGAAUUCCAUGUGUAGCGGUGAAAUGC
rnacentral:rRNA from 1 species